ACUGGGAUGGCCAAGUGGUUAAGGCGCUGGACUUAAGAUCCAAAAGGUGAGUGCCCACGUGGGUUUGAAUUCAACUCCCAGUA
rfam:Cricetulus griseus cell line CHO-K1, whole genome shotgun sequence.